UAUGUACUACCUCUGUUCCAUAAUUCUUGUCUCAAAUUUGCCCAAAAAUGAAUGUAUCUAUUCCUAAAAAGCGUCUAGAACUCUAGAUACAUGUAAUAUUUCGACAAGAAUUAUGGAACAGAGGGAGUACAUC
rfam:Brachypodium distachyon strain Bd21 chromosome 4, whole genome shotgun sequence.